AUUGAACGCUGGCGGCAUGCUUUACACAUGCAAGUCGAGCGGCAGCACGGGGGCAACCCUGGUGGCGAGCGGCGAACGGGUGAGUAAUACAUCGGAACAUGCCCAGUCGUGGGGGAUAACACUUCGAAAGAAGUGCUAAUACCGCAUACGUCCUGAGGGAGAAAGCGGGGGAUCGCAAGACCUCGCGCGAUUGGAGUGGCCGAUGUCAGAUUAGCUAGUUGGUGGGGUAAAGGCCUACCAAGGCAACGAUCUGUAGCUGGUCUGAGAGGAUGAUCAGCCACACUGGGACUGAGACACGGCCCAGACUCCUACGGGAGGCAGCAGUGGGGAAUUUUGGACAAUGGGGGCAACCCUGAUCCAGCCAUUCCGCGUGAGUGAAGAAGGCCUUCGGGUUGUAAAGCUCUUUCGGCAGGAACGAAACGGUGAGCUCUAACAUAGCUUGCUAAUGACGGUACCUGAAGAAGAAGCACCGGCUAACUACGUG
rnacentral:rRNA from 1 species